rnacentral:rRNA from 1 species
GACGAACGCUGGCGGCGUGCUUAACACAUGCAAGUCGAACGGCAAGGCCCUGCUUUUGUGGGGUGCUCGAGUGGCGAACGGGUGAGUCACACGUGAGUAACCUGCCCUUGACUUUGGGAUAACUUCAGGAAACUGGGGCUAAUACCGGCUAGGAGCUCCUGCUGCAUGGUGGGGGUUGGAAAGUUUCGGCGGUUGGGGAUGGACUCGCGGCUUAUCAGCUUGUUGGUGGGGUAGUGGCUUACCAAGGCUUUGACGGGUAGCCGGCCUGAGAGGGUGACCGGCCACAUUGGGACUGAGAUACGGCCCAGACUCCUACGGGAGGCAGCAGUGGGGAAUAUUGCACAAUGGGCGGAAGCCUGAUGCAGGAACGCCGCGUGCGGGAUGACGGCCUUCGGGUUGUAAACCGCUUUCGCCUGGGACGAAGCGUGAGUGACGGUAAUGGGUAAAGAAGCACCGGCUAACUACGUG